rnacentral:tRNA from 1 species
CACCCCGUAGUUCAAUGGAUAGAACAAAUCCCUCCUAAGGAUUAGAUGCUGGUUCGAUUCUGGCCGGGGUGGCCA